GCCUCUUUGGCGCAGUGGUAACGCGUAGCACUUGUACAACGAAGUCAAUGCUAAGAUCACAGGUUCGAUUCCUGUAGGAGGCA
rnacentral:tRNA from 2 species